rnacentral:rRNA from 1 species
UACGAGUGCCUCAAGCGUUAUCCGGAAUCAUUGGGCGUAAAGGAUGUGCAGGUGGUUGUGUUAGUCUCUUGUUAAAUUCUUCGGCUUAACCGGGGGCAUGCAAGGGAAACGGCACGACUAGAGGAUGCGAGGGGUCUGCGGAACUCAUAGUGUAGCGGUGAAAUGCGUUGAUAUUAUGGGGAACACCAAAAGCGAAGGCAGCAGACUGGAGCACUCCUGACACUGAAACAUGAAAGCGUGGGUCGCGAAUGGG